UUUAAAUUAGGUGGCAGAGAGAGGGGAGACUUCCAAUCUAUAUAACUUUGGAAAUGAGUGGAGUGUGUAAAUCCAAAGGCAAAGGAAGUUAACAGAGGGACUCUGCUGAGCAGUAUGACAGAUUUCCUGCAUCACCACGGCAUUGGGCAGAGAAGGUGGCAAAAGGCACUCUGGUCUUUCAAGUUUCCCCACGUAAGGAGCACAUUUCUGUUUACAUGGCAUCGACCAAAGCAAUUCCCAUGGUUACUACAAACUCUGAAGAGUGCUGGAGAGUUCAACUUUUCCAUUAGCCUGGAAAAACAGAGCUGUAAAUAUUUGUUAAACAGUAUUGAUG
rnacentral:lncRNA from 1 species